AGCUUCUGUUAAGCUGAUCCCUCGUGUUUCUGGUAGCCUCAGCCAUCUAGAUAGACACGUGUCUCAGGACUUCAGUAUUGUAAUGAAGGGUAUAGCCACUUGAUUUCGUAUUGUACAUGAAAUAAGUAUCAUUGAUUUCCCAGCUUGGCAUCUUGUUAUCUCUCGUAGCCUGAGUUACAUUGAACAACAGUGAAGUGAGGAACUGGAGAGCCUGCUGGAAGCAAAUACGCUGGCAGGGACAGCUGACAGAGAGGGAAGGGUCUGGACAAACCGCCAAAGCCCGUCAUCAGUGUGAGGCCACUGGGCUCGGGCUCAUAGAGCCCUCCAUGACUAAGGUCUGCUGCGUGCGAGGCACUCUUAGGGCCGGGGAUACAGAGCCAAAGACAAACAGCCUCUUUCCUCCAGGAGCUUCACACUGGGAUGUAUACAUGCUGCCUGCCUGCCUGCAUUUAGACAAGCCACCUUGCUCUGAACUCCCUGUGUUAUGUUGUACCAGCAAGAAAUUCCUUUGAGCUAAUAGUCAAGCAACUCUGAGAGCAUUAGAGGAGCAGUGAGGUAGGUAGGAAUGGUAUUAGUCACCCCUACCUGGAUUGGUUUCAUCAAAUUCCUUUUCUCUAUACCAAGUGAACAUAUAUCCACCAAGAAAAUGGGAGGAUGGGCAUGGGGGCAGAGGAAGGAAAACCAAUUAGAAAUAAUUUUGCAUUCUGGUCAGAAGAGGAGAGUCCUUGGCGACUUGUUGCUGUGAGAGACUUUGGAUAGCAAGAGGGCCGAGUCAAAGUACAGAGUUCUGAGAAGGAAGUUCAGGUAGUGUUGUUCCUGCCCUGCCUUCUGCCCCCUCCCAGGGCCAAGGUGUGAUUGGACUUAGUGAUGAUCAGCAUAGAAACCUGAUUGUUGGGGGAGCACAUGGAUGCCGGGUAGGGUAGGCCUAGGACUGAUUAUAAAUUGAAAGCAUGUGUCUGCUGUAUGCUGCCCAACUUAGUGGGAGUAGAGGCACUUUUUAGCAUGGUAAAUCAUGAAUAUUAACAGUUAAGGCUGGAGGACACUUAAAGCCAGGGAAGUCAGAAUGGUAGGGCUGGGAGGGAAUCUAGAACAUGGGGAUGUCAGGAAAAGGAACCUCAGGUUAUGGAAUGUUUUCUUCCUCUAUCAGCCCUGACACAUACUGGCUCUUUGAUCCUGGCCAGGUCAUUGAAACAGUGCCCCAGACAGGGGCCCACUCGUCUGUACGGAUAGAAUUUCCACUACACGAGAGGUCAUAGGAGACUGGAGGCUCAUCGAACCUUUCAGAGACCUCUCAAAUACCAGGGACGUUUUAGAGAUGCCUCAUGCAUUUCAGCUGGGUGGCUUUGCCUGGUCGAGGUGACAGAGCAUUAAUGAAUGGCUCCAGACAUCGGAUGACCCAGAGACUAUUGUUCUUCUCAUCUAGGACAGUGGGACCAUGGUGGCGGCCCUCACCUUCUCCCGUGGGCACCGUCUGAAUCAAAUGAAUGAAAGCAUUGUGGAGAUAGUAUUUAU
rnacentral:lncRNA from 1 species